UACGGAGGGGACUAGCGUUGUUCGGAAUUACUGGGCGUAAAGCGCACGUAGGCGGAUUUGUAAGUCAGGGGUGAAAUCCCGGGCUCAACCUCGGAACUGCCUUUGAUACUGCAAAUCUCGAGUCCGGAAGAGGUGAGUGGAAUUCCUAGUGUAGAGGUGAAAUGCGCAGAUAUCAGGAGGAACACCAAUGGCGAAGGCAGCUCGCUGGGACGGUACUGACGCUGAGGCGCGAAGCGUGGGGAGCAAACAGG
rnacentral:rRNA from 1 species